AGACACCCCAUCACAAAACAGAACAGAACAGAACAGAACAGAACAGAACAGAACAGAACAGAACAGAACAGAACAGAACAGAACAAAACAAAACAAAACAAAAACCAAACAAACAAAAAAAGAAGUCAAACAGAACUGACUGUCAGGAUCUGCCUGGGUUUCAGUCUCUCCAGGAUGCUAGGUCUUCCUUUGAAGUUGUCUGGCCAAAAACAGCAUCCACCUUCAAGGUCAGAAUAGGACUUAGAAAUAAAUCCACAGGGUCUGACUUCUCUCCAAGGUGUCACAAGUUAGCAAGUAGAAUAUUGUUGCAAGUUGGUAAUUGACUUAAUAAGUUGAAAUUAAAUCAUGUG
rnacentral:lncRNA from 1 species